rnacentral:lncRNA from 1 species
CACAUGUCUGAGCACACAUAAGGGACUCUGUGAAUAUGUGUGUAUUUGUUGUGUGCAUGCCCGCAGAAUGGGAUACAGAGACUCACUCUAUUCAUCAGGGAUUUGUUUUAAUCAGGAAUUGGCAGGCAUGGGAAGAGCACGCUGUCCAGGGUCGGCAAGGCCUGGAAAUGUCAGAGCAUCAGAAUACUGAAAAUAAAAGACAUGGUUAAAUCUAUUUUGGUGGCGAGGCUGGGGACACUGGGAAUAUGAUACUGAUCAAUCUAGAAUGUGUGGAGGAGUGGACAGCAGUUUUUAAUCAGACAAGACCUUCAACCCCGGCACAGACCAUCAAUUGGCAGGUGUUAAAACAGACCAAAAUGUGUUCUCCCGCCCAGAAGCAAGCAAAGCCAACCCCAGCUGCAGUUCCCUGACAGUCCAGUGAAUUCAGCCAAAGGAAAUGGCCCCACAUGGAGGGCAAGUGACAGAAGACCUGAUGACUCCGGUGGCUCAGCGGAGAGUGCAUUAAUAGGCUUGACCACUUCUGCUCGAUCUUCAGGCAAGCUGGGUCUGACCCCUGGACACUGUCCCCUGGAGCCCCUGGCCUCCACGUGUCCACCCACUGCCAUGGUCAUGGCUCCUCAGCAGGAGGAGGCCCAGCAGCCUCCAGGUGCCCCUGCCUGGUGCUAGCUGCCCACCGAAGCUCUAGCCUCACACUCUCAGGUUCAAAUCCAGCGACAAGAGCGGAUCCCACAAAGGCCACGAGAGUCACCCUAAACGGUCAGCUUAGGUCCUUCGUUCACUGAGCCCAUCGCUGUCCAGGGCAAGUGGUGCUGGCUGGGCUAGGUCCAGCUCCCGUGUCCACCCUGGGACCUGAGGUUCAGGGUCAGCUCACCCUAGACACAUGGAUCGAGUGGGGAGGGUGAAUCCUCAAAUGCUAAUCAGGUUCUGUUGUACAGAAGGGGAAGCGGAGGCAGGAGGAUGCAGCAAGACCUGUUCCCUCCUCUAACGGCACUCAUAGGACAGCCCAGCCACACAUUCAAAGAAUCUUGAAGGAAUAGGAUGGUUGGUAUGGUUGGUGUGGAAGAAGGUUCAUAAAUUCUGGAUUUAGCUUUGUGGGAUUCAGCUGACCUGAAAUUUAUACCUGUGCAGAAUCCCCAGCAGCUGCCUGUUCUCCCCCUCCACUGGGCUAGAGCUGUGUCACACAGGCUGAGCGGCCAGGAAGCUGGGCACCAUCCAGGGAGUGUGUGAUCGUCGGGGUCCUGUUGAUUCCUGCUUUUGAGUAAUGAAGGUGACCAAACCACAUGACCCUGUCUGCAAAGAUUCCACCUGGACUCCCAGUUCCUCCAAGGAACCGUCAUGUGGUUCAAAUCCAAUGAAAUUCUCUAAAUCUCCACCCUCCUCAGGGUGCAGAGUUGGCUGCUUCUCUGUGCCCCCUGCUGAUCACGGCAACCCCUGGGUGCCUCGGCCUGCGAAGCCCCAGCUGUCCUCCGUCUGCAGACAAGCCGAGGUAUGAAAGCCUCCUCGCUGGCCCAGGAGCCUGUCAUUGUCCUCCAGCAGCUCUAGCCUGGAUGCGGUCCCAGAGAUAAAUCAUAUCUCUUUAAAAAGCCACAGUGGCCCAUUAUUUCUGCUUGAAAAUACCCCUGGCUCUCUGCUGGUGAGCUGGUUGACAGGCCCCGGCUGUUGUGCUCAGUGCUGCAAAGAGUCACGUCAGUCUGUCGACUUGUGUAGUGAGCAAGCUGGUAGCUUCAGAUGGUAUGCACAUGAAAUCCCGUCCUGGCAUCCAGGACUUGGCUGGGGGUUGCAGAGAGAACCACAUCUGCAAAAGAGUUGGUAUUUUACAGUCCCAGCCUCACGUCCUUGUGAAAUGCCCUGUUCAUACUGGGCUACAGGGGCGGGAGCAAAAAUGAUACAAUGACAAUUCCUGGGCUGUGUUCUGCAAUAUUCUACAACACUUCCACAAGAAAACUCCAAUCUUUAAAAAUAGACUGAGCACAAUUAAACAAUCACUAUAGAUAUUUCUUUUCUUUUUUUUUUUUUUGAGAUGGAGUCU